rnacentral:rRNA from 1 species
AGAGUUUGAUCCUGGCUCAGAAUGAACGCUGGCGGCGUGCUUAACACAUGCAAGUCGUACGAGAACUCUUCUGCUUGCAGAAGAUAGUAAAGUGGCGCACGGGUGAGUAACGCGUGGGUAAUCUCCCUCUGACUCGGGGAUAACAUUGCGAAAGCGAUGCUAAUACCGGAUGACAUCAUGAAAACCUUGGUUUUUAUGAUCAAAGGUGGCCUCUACAUGUAAGCUUCCGAUUAGAGAUGAGCCCGCGUACCAUUACUUGUUGGUGGGGUAACGGCCUACCAAGGCUGCGAUGGUUAGCUGGUCUGAGAGGAUGAUCAGCCACACUGGAACUGACACACGGUCCAGACUCCUACGGGAGGCAGCAGUGAGGAAUUUUGCGCAAUGGGGGAAACCCUGACGCAGCAACGCCGCGUGAGUGAUGAAGGCUUUCGGGUCGUAAAGCUCUGUCGAGUGGGAAGAAAAACCAGAUACCAAUAAUAUCUGGGACUGACGGUACCACUGAAGGAAGCACCGGCUAACUCCGUGCCAGCAGCCGCGGUAAUACGGGGGGUGCAAGCCGUUAUCCGGAAUCAUUGGGCGUAAAGAGCGCGUAGGCCGGCCCUAUAAGUCAGAUGUGAAAGCCCGGGGCUUAACCCCGGAAGUGCAUUUGGAAACUAUUGGGCUUGAGUAUGGGAGAAGGAAGUGGAAUUCCUGGUGUAGAGGUGAAAUUCGUAGAUAUCAGGAGGAACACCGGUGGCGAAGGCGACUUCCUGGGACCAAUACGACGCUGAAGGCGCGAAAGGCGUGGGGAGCAACCAGGAUUAGAUACCCUGGUAGUCCACGCAGUAACCGUUGAACACUAGGUGUAGCCGGGUAUUGACCCCUGCUGUGCCGCAGUUAACGCAUUAAGUGUUCCGCCUGGGGAGUACGACCGCAAGGUUAAAACUCAAAGGAAUUGACGGGGGCCCGCACAAGCGGUGGAGCAUGUGGUUUAAUUCGACGCAACGCGAAGAACCUUACCUGGAUUUGACAUCCCGGGAAUUCUUUCGAAAGAUUGAAGUGCCCUUCGGGGAACCCGGAGACAGGUGCUGCAUGGCUGUCGUCAGCUCGUGUCGUGAGAUGUUGGGUUAAGUCCCGCAACGAGCGCAGCCCCUAUCUUUAGUUGCCAUCAUUCAGUUGGGAACUCUAGAGAUACUGCCCCGGUCAACGGGGAGGAAGGUGGGGAUGACGUCAAGUCCUCAUGGCCUUUAUGUCCAGGGCUACACACGUGCUACAAUGGGCUGUACAAAGGGUCCGAACUCGCGAGAGUUAGCCAAUCCCAAAAAGCAGUCCUUAGUUCGGAUUGGAGUCUGCAACUCGACUCCAUGAAGCUGGAAUCGCUAGUAAUCGUGGAUCAGCAUGCCACGGUGAAUACGUUCCCGGGCCUUGUACACACCGCCCGUCACACCAUGAGAGUUGAUUGUACCGGAAGUUGUUAGGCCAACCUUUUAGGGGGCAGGCACCUAUGGUAUGAUUGAUGAUUGGGGUGAAGUCGUAACAAGGU